AAGUAUGAAAUAAUUAAUAUAAUCAAUUUCGACUUGAUCUCAAAGGAGUUCUCCCUCCUCUUACUUA
rnacentral:tRNA from 1 species